AAGCAGUGGUUUGAAUGAAGUGUUGUGGGGGAUAGCAAUAUGCUAAUGCCGUCGCGUUCUUCUAAGUGCAGCACGUUUGUAGCCCUCUUGCAGCAAACAAGGCAAAAAGCUAAACUUGCAACCUUGUUGUGGCAACGUGAAAUGGCAACGCUCGUGAUGACAAGCCAAAUUGUGCAUGUGCAUACAUCUUAACCUCAGAUCAGGCAAGAUUACCCGCUGAAUUUAAGCAUAUUAAUAAGCAGAGGAAAAGAAACUAACAAGGAUUCCCCUAGUAAUGGCGAAUGAAGAGGGAAUAGCUCAAAUUGAAAAUCUCCAUUGUGUUGCAAUGGCGAAUUGUAGUUUCGAGAAAUACUUUC